GACGAACGCUGGCGGCGUGCUUAACACAUGCAAGUCGAACGGAAAGGCCCUGCUUUUGUGGGGUGCUCGAGUGGCGAACGGGUGAGUAACACGUGAGUAACCUGCCCUUGACUUUGGGAUAACUUCAGGAAACUGGGGCUAAUACCGGAUAGGAGCUCCUGCUGCAUGGUGGGGGUUGGAAAGUUUCGGCGGUUGAGGAUGGACUCGCGGCUUAUCAGCUUGUUGGUGGGGUAGUGGCUUACCAAGGCUUUGACGGGUAGCCGGCCUGAGAGGGUGACCGGCCACAUUGGGACUGAGAUACGGCCCAGACUCCUACGGGAGGCAGCAGUGGGGAAUAUUGCACAGUGGGCGGAAGCCUGAUGCAGCAACGCCGCGUGCGGGAUGACGGCCUUCGGGUUGUAAACCGCUUUCGCCUGUGACGAAGCGUGAGUGACGGUAAUGGGUAAAGAAGCACCGGCUAACUACGUG
rnacentral:rRNA from 1 species